AUGUUGAUGCCAGAGUUUUCACAAUAUAUAAUGGAAGGAAUCACAGUAAGUGCAAGUUUUGAGACGUGCUUGGCUAAAAUCUAAUUCUGCAAAGUGCAUUCUGGAGCAACUCAGGACUGGACGCUCCCGAACCAGGAGCUGCGGGGCUGCUGAAGCUUGUUGCCAUCGACAUGAAUGGGAGAAUCAGAGUUUUUGAAGAAGAGAGAUCUCGAUAUACAGUGUUGUAGCAAAAUGCAUGAAGUUUGCCUGCUCAUUUAAGGGGUGAUAGCUAAAAGAUUGAAGUACCAUGUUGGCUGAAAGUCAUACCAAAUUUUCUAAGAAAUCUAUUGGACAUAUUAUUGAAUUGAUUAGUUGAGACGCGCGUGCGCGUGCAUAGCU